rnacentral:lncRNA from 1 species
AGAAUCACAAAAAUCACAGUGAUCAAACAUUAUUGAAGUCAACAUUAAGGAGAUGAAAGAUUGCUACUGUGAUAAUGCAGCAACCAAACAUCAUUAAGGUGGUUAUCACUGCUUGGCGCCAUGGGUAUGGUGAUUGUGACAACCAAACAAGGUUGAUGGGGAAAGUGUGAUGAUAUAAUGUUAUGGGUUUAUCGAAAUUCACCAAUCUGACUUUGCCAAUUUGAGCAUCAUCAUUAUAGAAUUUUCAAAAUUGGAAGAUCAAAUAAUCUUUUUGGAAAUGUGGUGAUCCUGGUGUCAUGGCAAG